AGUGAACGCUGGCGGUAGGCCUAACACAUGCAAGUCGAACGGCAGCACAGUAAGAGCUUGCUCUUACGGGUGGCGAGUGGCGGACGGGUGAGGAAUACAUCGGAAUCUACUUUUUCGUGGGGGAUAACGUAGGGAAACUUACGCUAAUACCGCAUACGACCUACGGGUGAAAGCAGGGGAUCUUCGGACCUUGCGCGAUUGAAUGAGCCGAUGUCGGAUUAGCUAGUUGGCGGGGUAAAGGCCCACCAAGGCGACGAUCCGUAGCUGGUCUGAGAGGAUGAUCAGCCACACUGGAACUGGGACACGGUCCAGACUCCUACGGGAGGCAGCAGUGGGGAAUAUUGGACAAUGGGCGCAAGCCUGAUCCAGCCAUACCGCGUGGGUGAAGAAGGCCUUCGGGUUGGAAAGCCCUUUUGUUGGGAAAGAAAAGCAGCAGGUUAAUACCCCGCUGUUCUGACGGUACCCAAAGAAUAAGCACCGGCUAACUUCGUG
rnacentral:rRNA from 1 species